rnacentral:rRNA from 1 species
AUUGAACGCUGGCGGCAGGCCUAACACAUGCAAGUCGAGCGAGUGGCGGACGGGUGAGUAAUGUAUGGGGACUGCCCGAUAGAGGGGGAUAACUACUGGAAACGGUGGCUAAUACCGCAUACUAUCGGAUAACCCAUAUGGGAUUAGCUAGUAGGUGGGGUAAAGGCUCACCUAGGCGACGAUCUCUAUCUGGUCUGAGAGGAUGAUAAGCCAAAGUGGGAGAGGGACACGGCCCAAACUCCUAGGGAGGCAGCAGGGGGGAAUAUUGCACAAGGGGCGCAAGCCGAAGGCAGCCAUGCCAGGUGUAUAAAGAAGGCCUUAGGGUUGUAAAGUACUUUCAGCGGGGGGACGUUACCCGCAGAAGAAGCACCGGCUAACUCCGUGCCAGCAGCCGCGGUAAUA